UAGGGAAUCUUCGGCAAUGGGGGCAACCCUGACCGAGCAACGCCGCGUGAGUGAAGAAGGUUUUCGGAUCGUAAAGCUCUGUUGUAAGAGAAGAACGUGUGUGAGAGUGGAAAGUUCACACAGUGACGGUAACUUACCAGAAAGGGACGGCUAACUACGUGCCAGCAGCCGCGGUAAUACGUAGGUCCCGAGCGUUGUCCGGAUUGAUUGGGCGUAAAGCGAGCGCAGGCGGUUUCAUAAGUUUGAAGUUAAAGGCAGUGGCUUAACCAUUGUUCGCUUUGUAAACUGGUAAAUUUGAGUGCAGAAGGGGAGAGUGGAAUUCCAUGUGUAGCGGUGAAAUGCGUAGAUAUAUGGAGGAACACCGGUGGCGAAAGCGGCUCUCUGGUCUGUAACUGACGCUGAGGCUCGAAAGCGUGGGGAGCAAACAGG
rnacentral:rRNA from 1 species